CUCCACGAUGCGCGUGCCGCUGAGCACAUGGAGGAGAGAGGAGAGGACGCACACUUAGCAGCCUGGCUAAUGUAGCCUGUGGGUCGCAAAAUAUUGGCAAAUGAAGAACAUUUCAGAUCUGGAAAGUGGACUGACUUGCUUAAGGCGUCCUACAUGGAUGAGAGAAAAAUAUUGAGGAUGUGAGCAGUCCCUUCACCUUUAAGAGUUAUCUUCAAAAUGGAGCUUGUUCUUUUUACUAAGUUUCAGUCUCAGAAUCCAGUCAUAGUAUCAGUCACCCUGCCAGUGAGGAAUACGGUGAAGAGGCCGUCCUGUGCGUUAAGAGACCUACACCGGACAGCAUGACCUUCAGAUGACUGGACUGAACUUGGACUGUGUUUAGGCAGCAUGAACUAGAGAACAACCUCCUGCUGAAGCCAUGCGUCACACUGCCAUCAACCUCAUUUAAACCAUAGCGCUGAUGUCACUGGAUAUGUUAAAUAGGUCAGGUGCACCUCCAUGUGCCACUUACUGUUCACAAAAGAAGACUGCAUCCAUGUGAAUUGGUGGUAAAUUGGUCUAAUGGUGGUAAAAGCUUUAGUCUUCAGGAGUCUUCAGAAAGGGUCAACCAAGUAUUUUUGCAAAUAUAUGUAUACAUAUACAUAUAUAUUGUAAUUAUUGUUAACAUUCAUAACAGGUCUCCAUGCUCUGUUUUUCUCUGUUUUCCUCUGUUUUGAAGGGUUUGUUUAAGCACAGUAUGCACCGUGUAACCCCAGAAGUGAACCCAGUGUGUUGUAAUAAUAAAAUGCGUAUUAAUCUGUGAAUGCAUUUAAAAUCUAUGGAUAAUGUAAAGGUUAUAAUGCCCUUACGUUUUAAUGAUUGGGUGACUGUAGAUAUAUAUAGUGAGAUGGUUUAAGUGGGACUAGCCAUUACUCCUCUUGGGCUGAGGAUUUUCUCGUGGAUCUCUGGUAAAGCCCAGGUUAAUGGAAUUGCUUCAGAUCUGGUUUUGGGGAUUGAGAAGCCUCUGUUUAGAUUAAUGUGAGCACCAGGGAUGAUGGGAAAGCGGGAUGCAGCCAGUGCUCUCUAAUAACACUGUGAGGGGUGGGGGUCAACACAGGGCAUGCCCAAUCUGGCUAGACUGUUUCGUCAGUGGUUUCUCUCAUAAUCCUCUUUCUCUGACUGCCACCGUGACUAUGUGACUGCCUGUGUAACAGAAACCAUGAAUCUCAGACAGCAGGGCAGCUAAAGGACUUUAUGAAUUGUAAACAAACUAGCAUGCAUUAUGAAUGAUGAAAUCAUUUCAAAUCAAAGCAGGGUAGACGUUACCCAAAUUUAAAAACAGUUCUCUAAAUAUUUCCACCCUCUUGUUAAAAUGUCAUGUGUUUCCUCUUUUACAGUGAAGAGGUUGUGUAUCAGUUAUGCAUGCGUACCCUCGGCUGGAGGAUUCAAAUUAGACUGAAUUCCUAUGUAAAGUGGUCUCUCACUUCUAUCAUGGGACAUGUUGUACUUUAUCGUUUCUGAGUGGUCCUGUCUCAGAGGUCCUGUUUCUUAAUGCCAACUUUCUCGCAACUUUUUAGCAUUAAAUGUAGUAUUACAUGUUACACAUCCUUCAAGGGGCUCCCGGAUUCAACUGGCACAUGCAGCCUGUGCAUAUUUGUUUUGUGACAUGCAUGUUAUGCAAAAAGACAAGCUGUUAUGUCAACAUUUCCUAAUUCUGUACAGUUAUAUCUUGCUGUUAAAUCUUGCGUCUUUUGACCCUCACAUUUCCAGCCAAUUUUUUUUUCUUAACAUUUUUUCCCUUUGAUUUCCCUCCCCCGUCGCUAAC